rnacentral:rRNA from 1 species
GUUGGCAGGGUAACGGCCUACCAAGGCUACGACGGGUAGCUGGUCUGAGAGGAUGAUCAGCCACACUGGCACUGAAACACGGGCCAGACUCCUACGGGAGGCAGCAGUGAGGAAUUUUGCGCAAUGGCCGCAAGGCUGACGCAGCAACGCCGCGUGGGUGACGAAGGCCUUCGGGUCGUAAAGCCCUGUCUGGUGGGAAGAAUGGGCGGGGAAUUAAUAAUUUUCCGCAGUGACGGUACCACCGAAGGAAGCACCGGCUACUCCGUGCCAGCAGCCGCGGUAAUACAGAGGGUGCAAGCGUUAUUCGGAAUUACUGGGCGUAAAGCGCGUGCAGGCGGGCCGGCAAGUCUGAUGUGAAAGCCCCGGGCUCAACCCGGGGAGUGCAUUGGAAACUGUUGGUCUUGAGUUCUGGAGAGGAUGGGGGAAUUCCCGGUGUAGAGGUGAAAUUCGUAGAGAUCGGGAGGAAUACCAGUGGCGAAGGCGCCCAUCUGGACAGAAACUGACGCUGAGACGCGAAAGCGUGGGGAGCAAACAGGAUUAGAUACCCUGGUAGUCCACGCUGUAAACGAUGAGCACUAGGUGUAGCGGGUACUCAUUCCUGCUGUGCCGCAGCUAACGCGUUAAGUGCU